rnacentral:misc_RNA from 1 species
GAUGAAGAACGCAGCGAAAUGCGAUAAGUAGUGUGAAUUGCAGAAUUCAGUGAAUCAUCGAAUCUUUGAACGCACAUUGCGCCUUCUGGUAAUCUGGGAGGCAUGCCUGUUCGAGCGUCAUCAAACACAUCCUCAAGCAUGCGUUGCUUGGUCUUGGGGGAAGAUGUUCGCAUCUCCCCUGAAAUCGCUCAGCGGAAAAGCCAUCUCUGUCCACAGGUGUGAUAAAAUUACUGUUCGCCUGGUGACUUGGAGGGUGUUCCUGCUGUCAAUGGCCCCCCAGCUUUCUCAUGAGUUUGACCUCGGAUCAGGUAGGGAUACCCGCUGAACUUAAGCAUAUCAAUAAAGCGGAGGA